rnacentral:rRNA from 1 species
AGUGAACGCUGGCGGCGUGCUUAACACAUGCAAGUCGAACGAGAACGGAAUAUAGCUUGCUAUAUUUGUCAGCUAAGUGGCGCACGGGUGAGUAAUGUAUAGAUAACCUGCCCUUAAGAAAGGAAUAACAGUUGGAAACGACUGCUAAUGCCCAAUAUGCCUUUAAUACAUAAGUAUGCAAGGGAAACGCUUUAGUGCUUAAGGAUGGGUCUGUAUGGUAUCAGCUUGUUGGUGAGGUAAUGGCUCACCAAGGCUAUGACGCCUAACUGGUUUGAGAGGAUGAUCAGUCACACUGGAGCUGGGACACGGUCCAGACUCCUACGGGAGGCAGCAGUGGGGAAUAUUGCACAAUGGACGAAAGUCUGAUGCAGCAACGCCGCGUGGAGGAUGACACAUUUCGGUGCGUAAACUCCUUUUAUGUAGGAAGAUAAUGACGGUACUAUAUGAAUAAGCACCGGCUAACUCCGUGCCAGCCGCCGCAGUAA